GUAUCUUUGUUUCCUGUUCCAAUUAUGGCGACGUGCAGUGGGUCUUAGGUCUUAGCUCCACCAGCCCCCUGUCGAUGUCUGAUUUCCUGAUUUUAUUCAAGAUUUCCAUUUCAUUUUAAGCUGGUAAAUAUUCUUACUCGUAGACCUUGCUUGGCUUCUUUCAAAUAUACCGACUCGCAGUUGCUAUAUAACCCUUUCUUUCUCUAGAUUUUACAUUUAACCUCCUCAUUAUCUCCCCUCCUGAUGCGGGUCUGAUUUGGCAUUUGAUUUGAAUUUAUUUAUUUUUGGUAAAUACUCAGUCCUUCCGGUAGUUCGAUGUAGAACCAAUAGAUGUAUGUAGAUCCUAACCCAAUCCUUUCUUCCAACAGAUGUUAUCUCCUACUUGAUCUCCUAUCUCCUGUAGAAGUCCUGCUGGCAUCCAAUAUCCUUUUAUCAUUGAUCAUGAUUUGUAUUCCGACUCAAGUUCUUCAUAAAGAAAACAUCUUUGUUGGUCCCUGAUUUGCUUUUUUUUUUGUAACCUUUUCUUCAACCUUGGAGAACAUCCUUGAUUCGGGUCUCCUUUAUGUUUGUUUCCUGUUCCAAUUAUGGCGGACGUGCAGUGGGUCUUAGAUAAUGUUAGAUCUACCACCGGAUGAUCUCUGAUUUCCUGAUUUUAUUGAAGCUUUUCAUUUAAUUUGAGCCUCCUUGGGACCUACUGGAUGAGGUCAAUGGGGCUAUCUUUAUUUUUGUUUCCUGUUCCAAUUAUGGCGACGUGCAGUGGGUCCUAGGUCUUAGCUCCACCAGCCCCCUGUGGAUCUGAUUUCCUGAUUUUAUUCAAGCUUUUCAUUUAAUUUGUGGCUUCCUGA